rnacentral:lncRNA from 1 species
UGACCACUUGCUAGAGAAACUCGACCGAGUCAUCAUAUUAUAAAUAAUAAUUCUAAUAGCUGAUGAGCACCAAGCCUUUGGACCUCCAAUGAUCAUCAUACUAAUGGACCCAUUAUCACCCAACUUAAUAAGAGGCUAUGAUUUAAUUAUCACCAUAACUAUCUCAUUUUAGGGACCUAAUAAUUUAGAGAAUUUACUUUAUGAAUUAAAAAAAGAGUAGAGAAG